rnacentral:lncRNA from 1 species
GAUACUUCUUCUUGGGACGCGUUUUAUUUGGCAGUUUUCUGAAUGUUAAAUACCAUUGGAUGGGUUACUUUUUAUUGGCAUUGGAAACACAUCAUAAUGUGAUACUUCUUCUUGGGACGCGUUUUAUUUGGCAGUUUUCUGAAUGUUAAAUACCAUUGGAUGGGUUACUUUUUAUUGGCAUUGGAAACACAUCACAUUAUGGCAGGGCAACGUUUCACAACUUAAUGAAUCCUCCACUUAUUUGAUCGGAUGGUUAAGAGAUUACCUAUAGUUAAACUCUUCACAACAUAUCAAAGGAUAUAAUCCUUUUGGGAUGAAUAGUUUAUCAGUGUGGGCUUGGAUGUUCUUAUUUGGACAUCUUGUUUGGGCUACUAGAUUUAUGUUCUUAAUUUCCUGCAACGGGUAUAUCUGCAAUGGAGUACAAUGCAAGGGACUCGCCGGCACACUCAUGUUGGCUGUGGCAAAGACUUGAGCAUAGAGGUGUCAGUGCGCAGAUCUGCAACGAGUGGUAGGAAUGACGCAUCCUAGCAACGAAGGGAGGAGUAGGAGCUACGGUCAGGUCAGUCCCCUGUUUUGUACAACUACUUUCCCCUUCCCCUUUCAUUAGAGGGAAGGGGAUUUCUGGAAUUAAGGAUUUUGGUCAAAGGUAGUAGAUUUCAAUUUCGUCCUACCCUUAGGUUUGCAUUCUGAUUGGUGUUAGAAGUUGAUAGGCUAUAGUUUAUGAAGUGCAAAACUAAACAUUGAUUUCAAGUUACAAUGACUUUUAUGAAGCAUCCAAGUUUCCAUCAUCUUCUUCCAUUGGGAGCAACUAGUAGGAGACAUCGACCUGCAACACUACUCAUUGGCAUCCUAAAACAAGUGCGAUCACGGGUUGAGAACUGUGCUGAAGUAUUGUUGGACCUUUUCUCAACCUUGGUUGCCGGUUUGCUUCCUGCCCAAAGGUAAUGGCUACCUGCUUCAUAGAGAUUUUGGUUAUGUGCUUUCAUGUUACUGUUGUCAACAGCGAUUUGUAAAGGGGCGUUUAAUUAGUAGGAAGAAAAAAAGCAAUGCGGUUACAUGAUCUUAGUUGAUCCAGAAUGGGAUGAUAGAGCCUUUGGUGUGACUUGUGACUUGCGACGUGCGCGUGUGGGAGGCCUCCCGGAAAUUUCUAAUAUUUUUUUUAGCACAAAAUCGUUUAGUCCCGGUUGGUUUUACCAAUUGUGAUAAAAGGGGCUCUUUAGUCCCGAUUGAGUGACCCGGGCCUAAAGACCCCCUUUAGUAUCGAUUGCUUUAUCCCGGAUGGUUUUUUUGGGAGAUUUGCUCCCUACCAACCGGGAUAAAAGGUCAGUUUUCUACCCGUGCAUGUAAAUUACUUGUAACUUCAUAGAGAAAGACCUCAGUAAUUUACUUGAUACAUACUGCUGUAGGAACGCAAGAGGCCAAUGCCGGGCAUGUCGACGGCGACCGGACAAAUUAGGAAACAACAAGAGAUGUGCAUGCGCCGUAAGGCCGCAAUACCGAAAAAAAUAGAAGUGUGAUGCGGGUCUCUUGUGUGAGCGUGACUCACAAACACGAUCUUUAUAUAUAUUUCUGCUCGCAUACGGUACGUACAUUGCAUGUGCAUGCGAACUUGAACUUGUCGAUCGCCUUCCAAGUAAUGAAGCAGAAAAAAUGGCCGGCGGCUUCACUUGGUUGCAGUCUUGCACGCAGGAAAAAGUAGAGUCUACAUGCAUCUGACAAACUACACAUGUUCCACCUAGCAUCAAAUAUGUUGGUGCCUCUGGAUAUAUAGUAUGUUUUGGAUUAAUGUGAUGCACACAUAUAUGAUACAUUACUGCACUCAUAUAUGGUGCUACGUAUACUCCCGUACGCGCUGCAGUGUGGAUAUAAACUUACCUAGUAAAGUUAGGGGGGGCACCUAUAUAGUGUAUUAUUAUGCAUCGAUAUAGUGUAUGUCUAGCUGCAUAAUAAAAUCUACUCCCUCCAUCCCACAAAGACUGUUCGUUUAGCUUUCAAAAUAUGUCCCACAAAGAGUGUCCAUUGUAAGGAAAAUGGCCUUAGACCAUAAUGAUGUGUUUUAUAAGUCCCAAGGAUGAAUUACAAAACUAUCAAAAUGAGAAUAAAAAGAAAGACUUAAAAGAAUUCUACGACAUCCAAAUGAUAGUAAAAAAUCCAGAGAUAGUCUUAUUUUAAGGCUUACAAAUGAUGGUAAUGAAGCCGGGACAAAGACACAUAGAGAUUUGAAGCAAAUACUGCUAAAAAUAUGCACCGACAUAUUCCACCGACUCAUACUGUGGUAACAGUAACCGUCACCGAUUCAGUCGGUGACCACAUGCAAGGCCAAGGUAGGUGCAUGCACUAUUACCACCGAUUCAUACUCUAGUAACAGUAACUAUCACCGGAUGAGUCGGUGACCACAGGCAGGAGCAUGGUAGGUGCAUGCACUGUUACCACCGAUUCAUACUCUGGUAAUAGUAACCAUCACUGAAUCAGUCGGUGACCACAGGCAAGGCCACGUAGGCGCGUGCACUAUUUCUACCACUACAAGAAAUGUGUUGAUCUAUGAUGAAAAUUUAAUGACACAUUUGUUCUCAUCAUAGAUCUAUGAGGUUUCUGGCUGAAAAGUCACGAAGUUUCAAAUCUGAGAAAAUUUAGUGACAAAGUUACAGAACGUCAUAAAAGUUGGCACUAUAGCCAAAAAGAAAUCAUCACUAGCUGUUACAUGGUGGUUUUGUGAUGAUAUAAGCUCCGUGAGAAUGUCAUAACCAACCAGGAUCGCACAUGUAAGUUUAAGCUGAUAAAUAGGGCGCUAAAAUAAAAAGGAAGAUGUGCUCCUGCCAUGGGUCGAACAUGUUACCGAUCAAAUGGGAAGUCUUUACCAUGACCGGCUGCGAGAGGAUGAGGAGCCACGAUGAGGCCAGUGCUCUGGUUGGAGCCGCUACUUUCCCCUAUCCUUCUAGGGAACGGGAUUUCUGGAUUUGGGGAUCUAUGUUGAACAUACUAGAUUCGUGAUGCAGUUAGUUUUUAAUUUGGAUCGUAUUAUGGAUUGAUAGGUUCAAAUAUUUUACUAGAGGUGCUUGAAGUCAUUGGUAGCGGCAGAUCGGGGCCUCCUGACGAUGAUCUUAUCGUUGUGGAUCCUGUAAACAAGUGUGAGCACGAGUAUGCUCUCCUUGUGAGGUAUAAUUGGACAUUUGACAACCCUGGGCACCGGUAUGCAUCCUGCAGCGAGGUAAACGAUAACUUGUUUCAAUUGUAACAAACUUUGCUUGUGCUCUUGAUGUUAGUGUUGUAAGUGGAGAAUUGUAUUAACGUAAUUGGUGUCUGCAGUGUGAAGGGCUAAAAUGUGCAGCGUUUAUGUGGGUUGAUCCUGAAUGGGAUGCUAGAACUAAAGGUAUUAUGAUGAAGCUGAUGAAGAGGAAGGCAAAAGCUGAGGAGGAAGCAAGGUCAUCAAAGGCAGAAUGCGCAAAGGCUAACAUGAAGCUUGAAGUGACUGCUGCUGAGCUGCAGUAGGUGAAGGGACACCUAGAACAUGCCACCAAUGUGGUGAAGAAGGUGAAGCAAUCGCUACUGGUGUGAUGUACUAUCUAGCAAAUUAGGAUAAGUAAGAAUGAUGAUUAUGAACUUUGUAGUGAUGAAUAUAAUGGCCAUGACAUGCAAUCUGAUUAUGCUGCUUUGAUUUAAUCUACUUUCAAUUUUAUGCCAGCAUAUUUAAUAUUCAGAAUUUAGAUACAUUGCAUAAUUGAGGAACACUAAUAAUAUAGAUAUUGGUAGUAUAUAUACAAAUGCGUUGUCUCAUAAUACAACUGGCAGCUGAGAUAAUAAAAUCUGGUAGGAUCCCACAACUCAGUCUAAGAUAAAAAAGGAAGAAAAAUAAAAAGGUAAAAGUGUCCACAGCAGGGAUCGAACUUGUGAUGACCUCUUGUUUCUGAAUAGUCAGCACUACCACUGAGACAUAAUACAGUUUAUGGUUUUUCAAUAAGGCAACUUCUUUUGAUUACAGUUCUAAUAAGUGUGGUCCACUUCCGGCCAUUGAUAUUAGUAAAGGGUGCUUUAGAUGCACGCAGUUCCAAAUUAAUGCCGGAUAGAAAGGAUUUUGGAUAUAGUUUUCCUUGCGACAGCCCAGAGCACCGUGGUACUUGUGAUACUUCUGCUAGGGACGCCUUUUAUUUGGUACUUUUCUGGAUGUUAAAUACCAUUGGAUGGGUUACGUUUUAUUGGCAUUGGAAACAUAUCACAUUAUGGCAGAGCAACGUUUCACAAUUUCAUGAAUCCUCCACUUAUUUGAUGGGAUGGUUAAGAGAUUACCUAUGGUUAAACUCUUCACAAC